AACGAACGCUGGCGGCAUGCCUAACACAUGCAAGUCGAACGAGAUCUUCGGGUCUAGUGGCGCACGGGUGCGUAACGCGUGGAAAUCUGCCCUUUGGUUCGGAAUAACAGUUGGAAACGACUGCUAAUACCGGAUGAUGACGAAAGUCCAAAGAUUUAUCGCCAGAGGAUGAGCCCGCGUAGGAUUAGCUAGUUGGUGUGGUAAAGGCGCACCAAGGCGACGAUCCUUAGCUGGUCUGAGAGGAUGAUCAGCCACACUGGGACUGAGACACGGCCCAGACUCCUACGGGAGGCAGCAGUGGGGAAUAUUGGACAAUGGGCGAAAGCCUGAUCCAGCAAUGCCGCGUGAGUGAUGAAGGCCUUAAGGUUGUAAAGCUCUUUUACCCGGGAUGAUAAUGACAGUACCGGGAGAAUAAGCGCCGGCUAACUCCGUGCCAGCCGCCGCCGUAA
rnacentral:rRNA from 1 species